rnacentral:rRNA from 1 species
GAUGAACGCUAGCGAUAGGCCUAACACAUGCAAGUCGAGGGGCAGCACGGGAGCAAUCCUGGUGGCGACCGGCGCACGGGUGAGUAACACGUAUGCAACCUACCCAUAACUGGGGGAUAGCCCGUCGAAAGACGGAUUAAUACCGCAUAAAACAGGAGCUCCACAUGGAGAUAUUUGUUAAAGAUUUAUUGGUUAUGGAUGGGCAUGCGCAGGAUUAGGUAGUUGGUGAAGGUAACGGCUCACCAAGCCAUCGAUCCUUAGGGGAACUGAGAGGUUAAUCCCCCACACUGGUACUGAGACACGGACCAGACUCCUACGGGAGGCAGCAGUGAGGAAUAUUGGUCAAUGGACGAGAGUCUGAACCAGCCAAAUCGCGUGAAGGAAGACGGUAUUAUGUAUUGUAAACUUCUUUUGUAGGGGAAUAAAGUGCAUCACGUGUGGUGUUUUGUAUGUACCCUACGAAUAAG